rnacentral:misc_RNA from 1 species
GACUCCAGUUCUGUGGAUGAGAAAGCCAUGAAAACUGUAGAAGAUCUGCCAUUAGAAAGCUCAAAUUUGUUUGCUACCAAAGAUGGCAUUGUGCGUGAUACUCAGGUUGACAUAGAUGUAGAAGUGAAAUCAUCACGUAAUGAUGAGGCAAUUACCAAAACUAAGGUUGUAAAUGCAUCAAAUGGCACCCAAACCGCAACUCUAAAUCGUACCUAUGCUAGUACCAAUAGCAGUGAGCCAAUAACCCAAAAAGAAGUUACUGGAAAUAAAGCUGAUGUUCAACAUAGUGGCAACUCUCAGAAAGGGAACAAUCCAACAUUAGACAGAAUAAAUAUUAAAUCAUGGGAAGGGGCAUCUAAAAAUCCUGCAGAAUCUGAAACUAACCCAGUGUUGGCUAUUUUUAAAUCGUUCAUAGCUGCGUUUAAGAAAUUUUGGUCUGAAUAAAGUUUUGGUGUGUUUGUCUACAAGAGUGGAUGAAUUCUGCAUUUGCCAAGAGUAAUGUAUGAACGCUCCCUAUUCUUAAUGUCACUUUUUUCCCCCUCACACACAAUCUAAUAUCAUAUCAAAGGGAAUUUUCACAUUUGAUGAUGGAAAGGCUUGCAUGCUAGAAGGAUAUCUGAAUAUGAGAUGAGUGAUUGCAGUUUCUAGGCAGUGGCAGCUGCUGGGAGAACCCUGCUUUAUAUAUAUAUAGUCUGCCUUAUCAGAUUGUUCAUGGUUGCCGCGAAGACAUCUUUUUCUACUAAUCUUUUUGGUCAUCAACCAUGUUAG